UCGUGACCUGAGCCGAAGUCGGAGGCUUAACCAACUGAGCCACCCAGGGUAAACACAUAAAAUUCUUAGAUCUCUGGCUGUACAAAAGCAAGUGGCAAGCUGCGUUUGACCCAGCGGCAGAAGCGUAUGGAUCCCCUUCCUGGAAUAUGAUGGUCUAGAGAUGCCUGUCAAAAUCCUCUGAAGCUGUCUUCACCUUCCCCUUAGCAAAGCCUCCCAGCGCUCAUUUUUGCCUGUAGGUAUAAGGGCUGCAGGUCCUCUCCCUCCCUCACGCAGCCUCCAAAAUGUGCCACGGAAAUUUAGACACUUAGGAAUUGCCUUGGAACAGAACUGGUGGAAACAGCGACUCUAGGAUUUGCUGCCAGUUUCUCCCCCGCCCCGCGGGUGGAACAAGUUGUUGAUUGUUCUCUUUCCCUGGAUUUUAACCAAGGUGAUAAAUGAGUCCCAGAGGAAGAGAUCUCGGGGAAAGGUGGGUGCUCGGAGCCAGAGCCCUGACUCCCAGGCCUUGCGCUUAUCUGCGUCAGAACCUCUGUUUCCAGCAAUAAAGGCUGUUCUAAGUGGUCCAGGA